rnacentral:rRNA from 1 species
ACUCCUGCGGGAGGCAGCAGUAGGGAAUCUUCGGCAAUGGGGGCAACCCUGACCGAGCAACGCCGCGUGAGUGAAGAAGGUUUUCGGAUCGUAAAGCUCUGUUGUAAGUCAAGAACGAGUGUGAGAGUGGAAAGUUCACACUGUGACGGUAGCUUACCAGAAAGGGACGGCUAACUACGUGCCAGCAGCCGCGGUAAUACGUAGGUCCCGAGCGUUGUCCGGAUUUAUUGGGCGUAAAGCGAGCGCAGGCGGUUUGAUAAGUCUGAAGUUAAAGGCUGUGGCUCAACCAUAGUUCGCUUUGGAAACUGUCAAACUUGAGUGCAGAAGGGGGGAGUGGAAUUCCAUGUGUAGCGGUGAAAUGCGUAGAUAUAUGGAGGAACACCGGUGGCGAAAGCGGCUCUCUGGUCUGUAACUGACGCUUAGGCUCGAAAGCGUGGGGAGCGAACAGGAUUAGAAACCCCUGUAGUCCC